AUCUAGUUAAAUACAAGUAGUGAACAUCCGACAGUGCGUCCACGCAUCUCGUUCGAAUGCCAGUUAAAUUUUCCGGUUACACGUGCCAGAUCAAUUGAAACAUGAUUUUUUUUUUUAUAAAUUUUUUUUACUUUUUAAAACUCAAUCCAAUAAUUCAACAAUGAUCAUACGCAAGAGGAAAAAUAAAAUAACAAUACUCGUUCUUGCUUUUCAAUUAAAAAGUAAUAAAUCAAUCAAUCGGAUAUUUUUUUUAUUACAAAUUGCUGCAACAAUUAUUAAAAACGGUAAAAUCGUUAUAUUUUAUUGAAUAAAAAAAAAAAAAAAAAAAAAAAAAAAAUCUCAAACUAUUUUAAAAUUUGAUUGUAAAACAUAAAUAUAGUUUGUCAAGCCAUACUUUAAGUGAGAAUAAAUUGACAUCUGGCGUCGCUUGAGGCUAUUAAAUUAUACAAAAGCAAAUAACUAAUACUAGGUACAGUAAAGUGUUAGUGGGGUUAGUCGGGUUAGUUGAGUGACUGUGAAGCUGUAAGAGUUAAAUGUUAAAUUCACCCAACACUUAAAUUUAAAGUCAUCGGCAUGAGAGGAAUGGAUUGACGGGUCGUGCUGGGUGCGUCGAGAGCGAUGAGAGCGUUGAGAGCGUCGAGAGCUUGCUGGUUUGAAGAAUGGCAGGGCAUCCGGUUUCACGUCGAAGCAACGUGAUGGAUCGCAGAUAAAUGGAGAAUAUUGACUGGAAAUAUUAUAGAUAUUAAAAAGUCUCAAUUUCAGCCUCAGUUUCGAUCUCAAGUUUGUUGGAAUAGAGGACAUAUACCAUUACAUAAGAUAAAGUAGACUUUUCAAGCGAGUUAUCGCUUUGUGAAGGGUGGUAGCGAGCAACAUUUCGGCGGUAAUCUUCCCGUCUACAGUCAUCCUGAAUUAAAACUCGCUUGGUAUUUAUUUAAUUUGAUAACCCACCGUCAAGGUUUACGCGAAAAACCUUAACUUUGAGAUAUAAUCUUGGUCAGAUAAUCCAAAAGGGAGUACCACCAGCACUAGCAGGAUUGCUGAGCAAAACCCAAGAGCGGCAACUUGUAACCGAGCGAUCUUUAUAACAACGUUACAGUUUUAAAGAUUAAGAUAACGCCUGCUAGUUAUAUAACAAUAUAACCCAAGACCGAGCCUAGUCUGCAUUAAUAAUAAAUUUUUAUCACCACCACCACCACCACCACCACCACGGUGUGGUAAUUAAAAGCCAGUUAACUAAGCGGAUAUAAAUAUUUAAAAUCAAUGAUUUUAUUUUUUUAUUCAGCUAUUGAAAAUUUAUAACUCAUUCUUUUUUUUUUCUUUCUUUCUCUCUUUCUUUCUUUUUAUUUGUAAUCAUUAUUGAAAAGAAAGUAACAUUUAUGUGAAGGUAAACGACGAUCGAAAUGCGGAAAAACGCUUCCACAAAUUUGAAUUGCAAAUUUCAUUUUCUUAAUGGGGCCUCUGGUAGUGCCUGUGAAACCUUGAAAUGCCUUAUAUUUUCUUCUUCAAAUUCAACCUGAGAACUUUGUGGUUAACCAUUCCAUAUAGGUCAUAUCGUUUAGUCAUGAUAAGAAAAAAAAGAGAAAAAAAAAAACUAGAUAUAUAAUAAUAAUAAAUUUAAAUAAAACAUAAAAGUAAAUAUAAUAUUAAGUUAUAUAGUUAAAUUAUUAAUGAGCUGAUUCUCGGGUUGUCUUGUUUGUUUCCAGAAGUCAAACUUUAUAAAUUAUAUUAUUCGAUAUGGAGGUGAAACCGACGAGAUGACUAAGUCGUAGAGUGGACUUCUGGACAGUUGGACAGUUUUAGACAAACUUGUGGCAACUCUGGAAUAGAUACCAAGACUUUGCCCAGACUCGCUUUCGCUUCUCCAGUGUUCGGAUGUCUUAGGAAAUCAACUUUGUGACAUCCACAUCUUUAUCUAAUUAUACUUUCUCUUCUCUACAAAACCUGAUCAACUGCUAAUGCAUUUUUUUAAUCCAUUUGAAUAAAUUUAUAAAUAUUUAAAUUUUAUUUGUAUUAAAGUUUUAAAGAAAUGUCGAAUAUCUUUGAGUUUGAAUGAUUACUUAAAAAAAUAAAAACAAGAUGUUACUUUACUUCAAGUAAAGAUCGAUCAAGUGAAUAAAAAAUUAUACUUAAAAACAAGAUGCAAAGUAAAUAUUUCACUGAAAGUUAA